rnacentral:lncRNA from 1 species
AGCUGACCUCUUGCCUCACAGAAUUACAAAAACAAAAACAAUUUUGCUACUGCUUCCUAUCUAUUACAUCAUUCAGUCAUCCAAAACAAGCUACUGUGGGACGUUGUUCAACUGCAAUAAUAGAGCUUGCCAUUUCGAUUGUCGUCUGCCAGUGAUGUGUAUGCGCACUGCAAUCUCCUUGAAUAGCUUUUCAGCAUUGAAUAUGUCUGUUUGGAAUCUGAGAUAGUUUCUUUCCCUCCAAAUUAUCGCAACCAGCAUCCCAAAUUCAAUCAUGAUACGUCAUGGAGGGAGAUGUGAUUUGUCAUGUAUGUUACAUUAUUUAGCAAAAUUAUAUUUUGUUAAAUAAUCUUUUUAUGUUUUUCUUAAAUUAUUUAUUGUUAAAAUGUUGAAUUAAAGUAUUGUUCCAACUUUAUUAACAUAUAAACAGUUUCUUCUUUCAAAAAUAAUAUUCAAUCUGUGAUUUCAUAAUUCGAUCAUAUUUCAUACAUUAAUCGUUUCUCAUAAUGCUAUUCUGGUUGCUUUAAGUGGAACAAUUUCGAUAUAAUAUUUAUUUUAUUGUAUUAUUUUAUGUAUGUUUUUGUAUGUUGAAAUUAUGAAAUAUAGUAUGUUGAAAUUGUGAAUUUUCAUAUUUUCAAAUUAUGAAAUUUCAAAUAAUUCCUACUAAUGAACUAUGUAAUAUGUUAGGGAGACCUAAAGAUUUUGUUGUAGAUGGGAUUAUAUGAGAUGUAAAUUCAAAGUAUAGAGGAUUGGUUAAUGCAAUAUCAAAAC